GGUUAAGCGACUAAGCGUACACGGUGGAUGCCCUGGCAGUCAGAGGCGAUGAAGGACGUGCUAAUCUGCGAAAAGCGUCGGUAAGGUGAUAUGAACCGUUAUAGCCGGCGAUGUCCGAAUGGGGAAACCCAGUGUGAUUCGUCACACUAUCGUUAACUGAAUACAUAGGUUAACGAGGCGAACCGGGGGAACUGAAACAUCUAAGUACCCCGAGGAAAAGAAAUCAACCGAGAUUCCCCCAGUAGCGGCGAGCGAACGGGGAGCAGCCCAGAGUCUGAAUCAGCUUGUGUGUUAGUGGAACGGUCUGGAAAGUCCGACGGUACAGGGUGAUAGUCCCGUACACCAAAAUGCACAGGCUGUGAACUCGAAGAGUAGGGCGGGACACGUGGUAUCCUGUCUGAAUAUGGGGGGACCAUCCUCCAAGGCUAAAUACUCCUGACUGACCGAUAGUGAACCAGUACCGUGAGGGAAAGGCGAAAAGAACCCCGGCGAGGGGAGUGAAAAAGAACCUGAAACCGUGUACGUACAAGCAGUGGGAGCACCUUCGGGUGUGACUGCGUACCUUUUGUAUAAUGGGUCAGCGACUUAUAUUCUGUAGCAAGGUUAACCGUAUAGGGGAGCCGCAGGGAAACCGAGUCUUAACUGGGCGUUAAGUUGCAGGGUAUAGACCCGAAACCCGGUGAUCUAGCCAUGGGCAGGUUGAAGGUUGGGUAACACUAACUGGAGGACCGAACCGACUAAUGUUGAAAAAUUAGCGGAUGACUUGUGGCUGGGGGUGAAAGGCCAAUCAAACCGGGAGAUAGCUGGUUCUCCCCGAAAGCUAUUUAGGUAGCGCCUCGUGAAUUCAUCUUCGGGGGUAGAGCACUGUUUCGGCUAGGGGGUCAUCCCGACUUACCAACCCGAUGCAAACUACGAAUACCGAAGAAUGUUAUCACGGGAGACACACGGCGGGUGCUAACGUCCGUCGUGAAGAGGGAAACAACCCAGACCGCCAGCUAAGGUCCCAAAGUCAUGGUUAAGUGGGAAACGAUGUGGGAAGGCACAGACAGCCAGGAUGUUGGCUUAGAAGCAGCCAUCAUUUAAAGAAAGCGUAAUAGCUCACUGGUCGAGUCGGCCUGCGCGGAAGAUGUAACGGGGCUAAACCAUGCACCGAAGCUGCGGCAGCGACACUAUGUGUUGUUGGGUAGGGGAGCGUUCUGUAAGCCUGCGAAGGUGUGCUGUGAGGCAUGCUGGAGGUAUCAGAAGUGCGAAUGCUGACAUAAGUAACGAUAAAGCGGGUGAAAAGCCCGCUCGCCGGAAGACCAAGGGUUCCUGUCCAACGUUAAUCGGGGCAGGGUGAGUCGACCCCUAAGGCGAGGCCGAAAGGCGUAGUCGAUGGGAAACAGGUUAAUAUUCCUGUACUUGGUGUUACUGCGAAGGGGGGACGGAGAAGGCUAUGUUAGCCGGGCGACGGUUGUCCCGGUUUAAGCAUGUAGGCUGAUUGUCCAGGCAAAUCCGGAUAAUCAAGGCUGAGGUGUGAUGACGAGGCACUACGGUGCUGAAGUAACAAAUGCCCUGCUUCCAGGAAAAGCCUCUAAGCAUCAGGUAACAUUAAAUCGUACCCCAAACCGACACAGGUGGUCAGGUAGAGAAUACCAAGGCGCUUGAGAGAACUCGGGUGAAGGAACUAGGCAAAAUGGUGCCGUAACUUCGGGAGAAGGCACGCUGGUGUGUAGGUGAAGUCCCUGCGGAUGGAGCUGAGACCAGUCGAAGAUACCAGCUGGCUGCAACUGUUUAUUAAAAACACAGCACUGUGCAAACACGAAAGUGGACGUAUACGGUGUGACGCCUGCCCGGUGCCGGAAGGUUAAUUGAUGGGGUUAUCCGUAAGGAGAAGCUCUUGAUCGAAGCCCCGGUAAACGGCGGCCGUAACUAUAACGGUCCUAAGGUAGCGAAAUUCCUUGUCGGGUAAGUUCCGACCUGCACGAAUGGCGUAAUGAUGGCCAGGCUGUCUCCACCCGAGACUCAGUGAAAUUGAACUCGCUGUGAAGAUGCAGUGUACCCGCGGCAAGACGGAAAGACCCCGUGAACCUUUACUAUAGCUUGACACUGAACAUUGAGCCUUGAUGUGUAGGAUAGGUGGGAGGCUUUGAAGCGUGGACGCCAGUCUGCGUGGAGCCAACCUUGAAAUACCACCCUUUAAUGUUUGAUGUUCUAACGUUGGCCCCUGACCGGGGUUGCGGACAGUGUCUGGUGGGUAGUUUGACUGGGGCGGUCUCCUCCCAAAGCGUAACGGAGGAGCACGAAGGUUAGCUAAUCCUGGUCGGACAUCAGGAGGUUAGUGCAAUGGCAUAAGCUAGCUUGACUGCGAGCGUGACGGCGCGAGCAGGUGCGAAAGCAGGUCAUAGUGAUCCGGUGGUUCUGAAUGGAAGGGCCAUCGCUCAACGGAUAAAAGGUACUCCGGGGAUAACAGGCUGAUACCGCCCAAGAGUUCAUAUCGACGGCGGUGUUUGGCACCUCGAUGUCGGCUCAUCACAUCCUGGGGCUGAAGUAGGUCCCAAGGGUAUGGCUGUUCGCCAUUUAAAGUGGUACGCGAGCUGGGUUUAGAACGUCGUGAGACAGUUCGGUCCCUAUCUGCCGUGGGCGCUGGAGAAUUGAGGGGGGCUGCUCCUAGUACGAGAGGACCGGAGUGGACGCAUCACUGGUGUUCGGGUUGUCAUGCCAAUGGCACUGCCCGGUAGCUAAAUGCGGAAGAGAUAAGUGCUGAAAGCAUCUAAGCACGAAACUUGCCCCGAGAUGAGUUCUCCCUGAGACUUUAAGUCUCCUGAAGGAACGUUGAAGACGACGACGUUGAUAGGCCGGGUGUGUAAGCGCAGCGAUGCGUUGAGCUAACCGGUACUAAUGAACCGUGAGGCUUAACCUU
rnacentral:rRNA from 1 species